rnacentral:lncRNA from 1 species
GACAGCUCCUGGGCCCCCUGGCACCUUGCUCAUGGUCCCCUUGAGAGCAAACUGCUUUCUCCAAACGAGAGGGGCAGAUUGAGAGAGAGUGCCAAGAAGUUAAACCCUUCAUCCCAGGUUUAGAAACCCUGAACAAGUAUAAAGUUUCAAGAAACGUCUCAGUUGUACAAGAGCACAUAAAGGAGGAGAUAAUUAUGACCAUCAGUGACCUUCUCAAUGACAAACCAAGGAGGAUGUGCCUGUCCUGUGAGUAAUCUCCAUCACAUUUCACUUUAUGAGAAAAUAGAGGUAUCAGGGUUAGAAAUUAAAUAGCUUAUCAAAUUUUAACUCUCAAUCAUAGAUAUUAAAAUUAUCAAUUAUUAAAAUUCUAAUCAUGCAUUAAGGUACCUGAAACAUUUAAAAAUACACUGCGCCUCUAACAAAUUAACUUUUACAAAAAGAACAUUGGUUUAAAU